ensembl:lncRNA
UGUUAAUAUAAUGUAAUAAUAUCUUUUCAUAAGCAAUAAUUGCUAACUAAAAUUAUUGAGAGUAAGAUGACAGCUUCUUUUUAAAAUCACUUUUGCUUUUUAUGGCCUCUGAUAGAAUUAACUCAGAAUUAUCUCAAACUUAUGUGCUCGGAAAUAUUCAAAAUAUAAAAACAUGUGGUAGGAUGCCUGAGUCAUGUCUGUUAAGUUUACUAUGCGGUGUACUAAUUUCUCCGUUCAAGCUGCUACACAUAAUAAUAUCAAAUCACAUUAUGAUAGGAGAUCCCAGAGCGGUGACUCUGCAAAUGGUGAUGGGGAGGGGAUAAGGAAAGCAAGAAUGUCCUGAAAACUAAAAAGUUUCCCAUUACCAGGCAUUUGAGAUGAUGUCGACGAAACUUGGUUGGAUGCACAACUAGAAUUAAAAAUAACUAUGUUUCUUCGAUUAAAGACAUUAAAACAUUGUAGACUUGUUGAAAUCAUAACCUUAGAGGUUUCUGACUUCUUACCUUUCUCCAAAUAUACUUUUAGGAAAAAAAAUCCUAAAAUAUGAUAUGGUCAAAAUAUUCACAUUUCCUGACAUCAGCGCUGUAACAAGGUUCCUAAACCCUCCUAUUUGACUGAAUUACUGAAGCCUUUCACUUUUUUUUUUUUUUUUUUGUCAGCUUCACAGAUACCUUGGAUAUGCCCGUCCUCUCCUGCUUGUGUUUGGGCUAACCAAUCUGCUAACGGGAAGAAAUCAGAAAUAUUGCUCAGCUUUUGUUGUGUAUAUUUGAAGGCUUUUCUGGGAUGCUCAAGAGACAGAAAUGCCAUCCCAGAAAGUGGACCCUGGGAAAGCUGUGAGAAAAGGUUUCGAGUCUCAGACGGUCCAGGAGCACCCACAUGGUUUUUAGACCGGAAGUUUGAUUCAGCUUUUCAGUCCAAGAGAAAGGCGGUCCCAGCCAGCUCAGGACAGGUACAACGGGGAGCGCAUUGUGAUCUAUUUGAAAUGUUUCAAAAGCACAGGGUUGGUUUUCUGCAAUUCCAUUUUAUUGAAUUGGCUGCUCAUGGUACCCCAGAUGUCAAAAGUUUUGCCCUCCUUUUCUGUUGCCACCUCCCUCUCCCUCCAAGGAUAGGAUUGCAAAUCUGCCCGCUCCCUUCUCUUUUCUCACCACUUAAUGGAAUGGAUUCUACAUGCUGUUAUCCAGACACGGCCCUUUGAGAACAUUUCCCAACCAGGGGAAACAAACAAACAAAAUAACCAAUAAUAGGAAUGGCUACAAGAUAUAAUUAAUUUUUCUGACUAUUAACGCAGGAGGAAAAUGUCUAAUGGGUUGCAGAUUUCUUCCUAUUUGAAUAGCGUGACCGUGACCAAUUCAAAAGGAAGCCCUCAGCCUAAGUUGCAUUUCCGUAGAUCCCCUGCAUCAGGACAGAGCCUGGGUCUGGGUGAUGCUUGCUUGCCUGGUGUCCUACGAAUGGAAAGGGAAAUGAUGUACAAACCGGGAGGGUUCACAGUGAUCUGAAGAGAGCAGAGUUCUCUAACCAUGAUUAAGAAUAAGGCAGCAAGAUUCCACUUGUCCUGCUAACCGUUAAAUAUUUUUGGCUGUCUGCCAGCAUCCUUCACUAUUUCUUUGAAGCUUUCUUUUACUUACUACAGUAGAGUAAUUAGAGAAUACUUUUUCAUCUUAACACACACACACACACACACACACACACACACACCCACCCACCCUAGUAAGUUUUGCUCCAACAUGUGCUUGCUAGAAUCAUCCUUCCAGAAACCAUCCAUAGAUGCUCUGCAUCUAGGAAAGCUCUUAAGAGCAGGUGGCAAAGUAUUGAUUCCUUUGAGCCCCUCUGUUUCUGAUUCUCUGUUUUUAAAUGUUACCCUAAUAUAUCUAAGAUAGGUUCAUCCAUGAUUGGGAGCUGGUUACAUUUUACAAAGAAACUUCCUCCCUGGAGGCAAUUAAAAAUGGAAUAAAACUCUCCUUAUCUGGUCA